GCCGGAGUGGUGGAAUUGGUAGACACAGGGGACUUAAAAUCCCCUGGCCGCAAGGCCGUACGGGUUCAAGUCCCGUCUCCGGUA
rnacentral:tRNA from 1 species